rnacentral:lncRNA from 1 species
CGCCGUUCUCACAAAAUACAACUAGCAGGCGCCGCGAACGCGCCCCAGGUGACGUCAUCGCGCCGGGCCCAGGGGUCACGUGAUUCCGCGCGCGGCCUUCGGCGGACUGCGUGGUGACGUAGGCGCGGGCGUGCGCGGCAGAAGCCAUGGCUGGUGGAUGAGGCGUGUUUGUGCGGUCGCGGACCGCUGCCGGGCAGCGUCGUCAUCCGAGGCCAUCGAGGGCCCCAGGUGGUACCUGCGCUCUGCUGAGGCCAGUUCCGAAGUGUUUUCUGAACGUAAAGUCCACACCUAGAAGAAUGUGGAAGAAAAGGCCGUUUUGUGAAUGAUAUGAUGAUAGAGAGGUUUCUCUGGUCGCCUAAGUGUAGGAAGCUCAGCUCUAGAAUUACACGGUCGUAGGGAGUAAAAUUCGCUCCCCUCGUCCCAACUGCUUGAUAAGGCUUCCUCUGCUCAGGCUCCUUCCACCUGUCGGAGUCACCUGUGCCCGUGCGCUCCUGGAAUAAACCCAAGUAGGCCCAGUUUAACCCCAUGAUCUCUCUUCUCAGCUCCCCGGGCUUGAGGGGCUUAAAUGAGUGUGGGCUGCAAGCCUCCAGCGUGCUUGGGUCUGGGGUGACCCUGUGCAUUCCUACAGUGCUUGCGAGAACAUUUUGAAACGGUUUGAGGCCUUGCCCUGCUCCAUCCAGAGCAAGGUUAUAGAAAUUUCAGACAAUCGCCUGCUCCCUUCCCUAUCUGGUGUGCUAGGCAUUGUAUAGAUCUGUACUGUCUGAUGUGGUAACCACUUGCAGCAUAUGGUUAACUUGAACUUAAAUUUUAAAACUCAGGGGCCGGCUCCGUGGCCGAGUGGUUAAGUUCGCACGCUGGGCUGCGGCGGCCCAGGGUUCGGAUCCUGGGCGCGGACAUGGCACCGCUCGUCAGGCCACGUUGAGGCGGCGGCCCAUAUGCCACAGCUAGAAGGACCUGCAGCUAAGAUAUAUAACUACGUACGGGAGGGAGGGGGGAGGUUUGGGGAGAUAAAGCAGAAGGGAAAAAAAAAAAAGAUUGGCAACAGUUGUUAGCCCAGGUGCCAAUCUUUAAAAAAAAAAUUUUAAUUCAGUUUUUCAUUCAUACUACCCACAUUUCAGAUGCUUAGUAGUCAUGUGGCAAAUGGCUACUGUACUGGACUGUGCAGAAUAUAGAACAUCCACAUCUCUGCAAAAGUUGUUUUGGACUUUGGGUGUUUUCUAUGUGUCAGGCUCAUUGCGAAUUUUAUUAUAUUCUUAAAACAAAACCUGUACAAAAUUUGAAAAUAAAGCUCAGGGGGAGUGGUAAAGGUAAAGUUGGACCAGCAUCAGGGAAUAAAGAGUAGAAAGGAGUUACAGGGGUGAGCCCUGCCUGGAGGGUACAGGGUGUUGACAACAGGCAAACCAAAGAGAACCAGAGGCUAAAUUCUGCAGCAGAGCUGAAUGCCCCAGGAGCUGACCAAGGGCAGGGUCAGUGCACUGAUCUCAAGGGAAGACCUCCUGGGAGAGGAGGGCUCUCUUGUUGCUUGGACUCUUGUUUUGUGCCGAACUUCGUAGUUCUUCACCCAGUUUAAAUCUUUGAGGACCACGAUGAGGUGGUCUUAGGUCUAGUACAAAAGCCCACAGUCAGAAUUCUGUGUCCAGGGUUGCCCAGCUGGAACCUAGCAGGUCGGGCUUGGACGCCAGGCCUCUCCAGCCCUACCGUGUGUGCUCGUUUCCAGGAUGCCAGACAGAGGGGAAUCUAGAAGCGGGUGGGAAGUUUGGGUUGGAGGGAAAUAGGUUGUGUCCUUUGGUGUGAGCACUGUGGGGUACAGUCAGGGAUAGGCCAUGGUGGAAAGAGUGGCCAGCAUGGUCGUGGCAGGGCGGCCCAGUUCUGUGCUCCUCCGGGUGGUGAGGUCACACCACGCUUCUUCCCUUGCAGGUGAAGGCUUCCAGUGGACGCGGAUCCCUUCAGUCCAACUGCAGAGGCUGAGCACACCAGCCUCCACGCGGCUGCGUCUGGGGACACUUGCCCAUGAGUCUCGAGUUUCUGCAGUCCUCGGAGCGAGGUGCCGGCUGCCCUUUUGCCCAGAUUGCCUUUUCAAGGAUCUUCAAGUAGCAGACAGCCUCGAGAUGUGUGAGGUAGCGCCUCCCUCCAGAGCAGAAAGCAGGUAUGCCCACUGUCCACCGUAAAAGAUUUGGCUUUCCUGCAUUCGGAGUACCUUUCCUGUAACGCAGCCUACUGCACGUACGGGUGCCUUCUGACUCCCCUCGGGUCACCCUGUGGGAAUUGGGGCUAGGGGAAAAUGCUGAUGUUCUGGCAGCUGCUGUUUUGAAUAGUCGAUUGUUUGUGUCUCUAAUCGAGGAAUCUUGUGUCUCCUACCAGCAUCUGUGAAACUGGAGUUUGUCUGCUGUCGGAUGGGAGCUAAAUCAGACCCUUACCUCCCCCAGCAGACUCUGCUCUGCGUCCCUGCCCUAGCGCAUAACAGGAAGUGCCUGCCAUCCCCCAGUGUUUCAGAAAGCCCAGGAUGCUAGAACUAGAAGAGACCUGAGAGAGGAUCCCUUUGGUGGCUGUCAGGCUGUCCAUGGAAUCUGCAGUGGUAUGUAUGCAGGAAGGGUCGGGCCUAACAAGUCACUUCACUUCUGUUUUAUAUGUUAGUUUUCCAUGAAUCCCCUGGCCAAGAAGUUUAAAACCAUUGACUUAUUCUGACCUUCCCUUAUUAUAGGUCAGAUGAUUGAGUCCCAGAAAGGUUAAUUGCCUUCAAGCCCACAAGACUACAUUGUGGACAGGCAGUUUUCUAGUGUCUGGAUUGUGGGGCUUUGAUUCUUUGGCAUUUGGUUGCCAAAUUUGGUUUUGGGUUCGACGCGCCACCUUUUCCCCAGGAAUCUCCUCGGUCAGUGAUGUGCUGGCCUAGAAAGGGCAGGCUGCUGCGAAGUCUCAUCACAGAGGCCUCCUCAACUGAAGGUGGAGUCAGGAGUGGGAACCCAAGUUCAGUUCUGUUAUUGCCACUCAGUGGCAAUUGGCAUUUGUAACAAUCCCUGGCUAUGUGUUUACGUCACUCAUUUUUCACAGCAGGCCUCUGAGGUGUUUCCAAUUUCCUCAUUUUUCCGGAUGAGGAAGUGGGUACUCUGGGGAGUUGUGGCCUGUCUACGCUGACACACCUAAUAAGGUUGCAGCAGAAUUUGAACCAGGCCUUUGCACUUGGGUUCUCUGAGCAACUUCAAUGCCUCCCUUACUCCCCUGCUAGGAAGAGUCAGGAAUUUCCGGUUCUGGGCCCAGGCUGGGGUGUGGGUGGCUCGGGGCCUGGGGUGUGUGUCUGACUGACAUUCUCUGACCCCAGGUGUGGGCGCUGUAUCUGCCUCCAGAACAAGAAUCCUCGCUGUGCGGCUGACCCCGUGGCUGAGUGGUUAAGUUCGUGCUCUCCACUGCAGGCAGCCCAGUGUUUCGUUGGUUCGAAUCCUGGGCGUGAACAUGGCACUGCUCAUCAAACCACGCUGAGGCAGCGUCCCACAUGCCACAACUAGAAGGACCCACAACGAAGAAUAUACAACUAUGUACCGGGGGGGUUUUGGGGAGAAAAAAGGAAAAAUAAAAUCUUUAAAAAAAAUAAUAAUUAAAAAAAAAAAAGAAUCCUCGCUGUGCAUCAGGACCCAGGUCUCUCUGACAUCUCCUGAAUAAGGAGAAAGACAUAUUUAAUAAACAGUUUUAAAUGUG